GAUCCUGGCUCAGGAUGAACGCUAGCGACAGGCUUAACACAUGCAAGUCGAGGGGCAGCAUGGGGUGAGCAAUCAUCCCGAUGGCGACCGGCGCACUGGUGAGUAACACGUAUGCAACCUGCCCCCCUGCCGGGGAAUAACCCAGGGAAACCUGGCCUAAUGCCGCAUAACACGCCGCACGGCAUCGUGUGGUGUUGAAAGCUCCGGCGGCAGGGGAUGGGCAUGCGCCGCAUUAGCUAGUUGGUGGGGUGACGGCCCACCAAGGCGACGAUGCGUAGGGGUUCUGAGAGGAAGGUCCCCCACACUGGUACUGAGACACGGACCAGACUCCUACGGGAGGCAGCAGUGAGGAAUAUUGGUCAAUGGGCGCAGGCCUGAACCAGCCCAAGUCGCGUGAGGGAGGACGGCCCUACGGGUUGUAAACCUCUUUUGCCGGGGAGCAACGCGCCCCACGCGUGGGGAAUUGAGCGUACCCGGAGAAAAAGCAUCGGCUAACUCCGUGCCAGCCGCAGC
rnacentral:rRNA from 1 species